UACGGAGGGGGCAAGCGUUGUUCGGAAUUAUUGGGCGUAAAGAGUAUGUAGGCGGCUAUUUAAGUCAGACGUGCAAGCCCACGGCUCAACCGUGGAAUUGCGUUUGAAACUAUUUAGCUUGAGUUCAGGAGAGGAAGGCGGAAUUCCCAGUGUAGCGGUGAAGUGCAUUGAUAUUGGGAAGAAUACCAGUGGCGAAGGCGACUAACUGGGCCAUUUUUGACGCUGAGAUACGAAAGCGUGGGUAGCAAACAGG
rnacentral:rRNA from 1 species